GACGAACGCUGGCGGCGUGCUUAACACAUGCAAGUCGAACGGAAAGGCCUGCUUUCCCUUGUGGAUUGCGGGUACUCGAGUGGCGAACGGGUGAGUAACACGUGAGUGAUCUGCCCCCAACUUGGGUAUAAGCCUGGGAAACUGGGUCUAAUUCCCGAUAGGACUGCAGGGUGGUGCCUGUGGUGGAAAACGAUUUUCUAGUGGUUGGGGAUGAGCUCGCGGCCUAUCAGCUUGUUGGUGGGGUAAUGGCCUACCAAGGCGGCGACGGGUAGCCGGCCUGGGAGGGUGGACGGCCACAUUGGGACUGGGAUACGGCCCAGACUCCUACGGGAGGCAGCAGUGGGGAAUCUUGCACAAUGGGCGGAAGCCUGAUGCAGCGACGCCGCGUGGGGGAUGACGGCCUUCGGGUUGGAAACUCCUUUCGACCGCGAGGAAGCCACCUGGUUGGAAGGGUGGUGACGGUAGUGGUAGAAGAAGCACCGGCUAACUACGUG
rnacentral:rRNA from 1 species